GACAGAGGGUGCAAACGUUGCUCGGAAUUACUGGGCGUAAAGGGCGUGUAGGCGGGAAGGCAAGUCGGGCGUGAAACGCCCAGGACUCGAACCUGGGAACUGCACUCGAAACUGCCUUUCUUGAGUGCCGGAGAGGAAAGCGGAAUUCCUGGUGUAGAGGUGAAAUUCGUAGAUAUCAGGAGGAACACCAGUGGCGAAGGCGGCUUUCUGGACGGUAACUGACGCUGAGACGCGAAAGCGUGGGGAGCAAACAGG
rnacentral:rRNA from 1 species